CUUUGGUUUGGAGAAAGGAUAUCCUGUAAGGAACAAAAUCAUGAACAACAUGUUUUUCCCAGGUGAAGAAUUGAAAACGUGAAAUUAACUAAAGCACAACCAACUAAAGCAUAGUUAUUUAUGCUAGUAUUAUAUGUGACCCAGACGAGCAAAGAGUAUGAUAAAAGGUUUCCUUUCAUUUGUAUUAUCACUUCAGGAAUGCUUCAUGUGUGUGAAGGGAAAACGAAAGUUGCGUGAUGAGACAUUUCUCAGUCAUGACUUCUGAACACUUUACAGCCUUAGCGUACUCCUAAGACACAGUCUUCUAAGAUCCAAGGACAUCAUCUUACCUGUCUUUUACCCUUUUUUGGAAGCAUCUAAAGAAAAACUGGGUUUUAUGAAGGUAUAUGAAGAUAUCUUCUGAUAUAUGAAGAAUUGACAGGUAUGUAAAAGCCCUCUGUUAGAUUUUCCAUCCAAGUCUGCUUUGUUCACAAACUGCAUAC
rnacentral:lncRNA from 1 species